CAACUUUCAACAACGGAUCUCUUGGCUCUCGCAUCGAUGAAGAACGC
rnacentral:rRNA from 1 species